rnacentral:tRNA from 2 species
AGUCCCGUGGGGUAGUGGCCAAUCCUGCAGGGCUUUGGACCCGGCGACCCCGGUUCGAAUCCGGGCGGGACUA